AGUGAACGCUGGCGGUAGGCCUAACACAUGCAAGUCGAACGGCAGCACAGUAGGAGCUUGCUCUUACGGGUGGCGAGUGGCGGACGGGUGAGGAAUACAUCGGAAUCUACUUUUUCGUGGGGGAUAACGUAGGGAAACUUACGCUAAUACCGCAUACGACCUACGGGUGAAAGCAGGGGAUCUUCGGACCUUGCGCGAUUGAAUGGGCCGAUGUCGGAUUAGCUAGUUGGCGGGGUAAAGGCCCACCAAGGCGACGAUCCGUAGCUGGUCUGAGAGGAUGAUCAGCCACACUGGAACUGAGACACGGUCCAGACUCCUACGGGAGGCAGCAGUGGGGAAUAUUGGACAAUGGGCGCAAGCCUGAUCCAGCCAUACCGCGUGGGUGAAGAAGGCCUUCGGGUUGUAAAGCCCUUUUGUUGGGAAAGAAAAGCAGCAGGUUAAUACCCCGCUGUUCUGACGGUACCCAAAGAAUAAGCACCGGCUAACUUCGUG
rnacentral:rRNA from 1 species